rnacentral:piRNA from 1 species
UCCGAGAUGAUGAACUCCGGGGUCUGAGAU